rnacentral:rRNA from 1 species
UGGGGAAUCUUGGACAAUGGGGGCAACCCUGAUCCAGCCAUGCCGCGUGAGUGAUGAAGGCCUUAGGGUCGUAAAGCUCUUUCGCCUGUGAAGAUAAUGACGGUAGCAGGUAAAGAAACCCCGGCUAACUCCGUGCCAGCAGCCGCGGUAAUACGGAGGGGGUUAGCGUUGUUCGGAAUUACUGGGCGUAAAGCGCACGUAGGCGGACCAGAAAGUUGGGGGUGAAAUCCCGGGGGCUCAACCCCGGAACUGCCUCCAAAACUAUUGGUCUAGAGUUCGAGAGAGGUGAGUGGAAUUCCAAGUGUAGAGGUGAAAUUCGUAGAUAUUUGGAGGAACACCAGUGGCGAAGGCGGCUCACUGGCUCGAUACUGACGCUGAGGUGCGAAAGUGUGGGGAGCAAACAGGAUUAGAUA